GCCAGGUGCUGUGGGGCACGCCUGUAAUCCCAGCGGCUCGGGAGGCUGAGGCAGGAGGAUCGUGAGUUCAAAGCCAGCCUCAGCAACAGCGAGGAACUCAACAACUCAGGGAGACCCUGUCUCUA
rnacentral:sRNA from 1 species